GACGUAGGGCGCGAGCGUUGUCCGGAUUUAUUGGGCGUAAAGAGCUCGUAGGCGGCUCGUUGCGUCGGCUGUGAAAACCCGCAGCUCAACUGUGGGCUUGCAGCUGAUACGGGCGGGCUGGAGUUCGGUAGGGGAGACUGGAAUUCCUGGUGUAGCGGUGAAAUGCGCAGAUAUCAGGAGGAACACCGGGUGGCGAAGGCGGGUCUCUGGGGCCGAUACUGACGCUGAGGAGCGAAAGCGUGGGGAGCGAACAGG
rnacentral:rRNA from 1 species